GGGUUAGCUUCGGCAGCACAUAUACUAAAACUGGAAUUAUUCAGAGAUUAGCAUGGCCCCUGCACAAGGAUGACAUGCAAAUUUUCCUUAUAUAU
ensembl:snRNA U6 U6 spliceosomal RNA